UCUGUGAUCAUUGAUGGUGGAGUAGAUUGUUUGCCAAACUAUUACCAUAACUGUCAACCGAAAUCAGAAAAAUAAUCUCAUUGUGCUGGACAGAUGCCUUUCCUGCAUUAUUGAUAUAGUCACUCCAGAGUAAUAGAGAAAUAUAAAGCAUUGUUCUAUUUACAAAAGGAGAUUGGCCAAGUCCUUGAGAGUGAGCGGGAGGGACAGGCACUUAAAGGAAGUGAGAUAUAGUCAACUCAGUAAAAGUUAUGUGUCAGGGUCAUGUGGCCUCCAUAGUCAGCAGUAGAAUCUCAGUUUUCAAUAGCUUUUCCUCUCCUUUCUCACUUUCAGAUUUAGCUCCAUAACUUAAUCUCUGACUAAAUGAGCUUCCCAGGGUUUCAGUGCAGCACUGUGGAAUUCACACAGCUUUUCCCCCUUUCCUCUGGCUGCCAGCAUGACAACCCGAAAUGCAUCUCAGGGACUGCUGCAUUUCCAGAAUAUGCAAAACCACUUCAUCUUCACCGCGCGACUCUGUGUAGCAAGGAUAAAUCAGAGAUUUGUAAAAGGAACUGCAUUUGAAGAAAGAAGGGAAAGUAUGUAUUGUGCUUGGAAAGUGAGAGGUAUCUGGCGUAAAUAUUCUUUGUCUUCAUAUCUGAAAACUUUUCACAGGAGAUGAGAAGUAACCCAGCUUCCCACAGCACUCUGCAGAUACAGCUUUUGCUACAAGCAGCCCACUUACCUAAAAUACCUGCUGGUGUAACCUGGCACUAGAGUUACCACCCCAAGGACCAACAAAAUCAACAUCUCCUCAAAUAGAUAUCACUCAAAACAGAAAAGCAUUUUUUGUUUGUUUGUUUUGUUUUUGUUGUUUUGUAAGGAGCUUCUUGAAACAAGCCAAACUUGUAUCCAUGCAAUGUUUGUACUACUCCAGCCCCAAGGAGCCAUUGUACCUCAUGCUCCUCCCUUAGGCCCUCAGAGAAGCAAGAUGUUUCUAACAGGCAGCUCGCUGAGAAAAAUUUGUAAGCAAUAAGCGUGGACAAGGACCUGUCUAACUCAACCAAACUCAGUAAGAGAUUUAGGGUAGGCACUGGUCCAUGUUUCACUCAGAAGAGCACUAAGCUGCAAGGGACACCCACUAAGUACCUCUCUGUUCUGUGCCAUACCACAGGGUACAUACACUAUUCAGAUUUCUAUUCUGCCCACCAAAAUAUUUGAAAUAAAGUUGUCAAACCUCACGAUUUUCUGUGGAGC
rnacentral:lncRNA from 1 species